GAUGGCUCUGCUAUCACUUUGGGAUGGACCCGCGCCGUAUUAGUUAGUUGGUGAGAUAAAAGCCCACCAAGACGAUGAUACGUAGCCGACCUGAGAGGGUAAUCGGCCACAUUGGGACUGAGACACGGCCCAGACUCCUACGGGAGGCAGCAGUAGGGAAUCUUCCACAAUGGACGAAAGUCUGAUGGAGCAACGCCGCGUGAGUGAUGAAGGUUUUCGGAUCGUAAAACUCUGUUGUUAAAGAAGAACAAGUGUUAGAGUAACUGUUAACACUUUGACGGUAUUUAACCAGAAAGCCACGGCUAACUACGUGCCAGCAGCCGCGGUAAUACGUAGGUGGCAAGCGUUGUCCGGAUUUAUUGGGCGUAAAGCGAGCGCAGGCGGUUUUGUAAGUCUGCUGUGAAAGCCCUCAGCUCAACUGAGGAAGUGCAGUGGAAACUACAAAACUUGAGUACAGAAGAGGAAAGUGGAACUCCAUGUGUAGCGGUGAAAUGCGUAGAUAUAUGGAAGAACACCAGUGGCGAAGGCGGCUUUCUGGUCUGUUACUGACGCUGAGGCUCGAAAGCAUGGGUAGCGAACAGGAUUAGAUACCCUGGUAGUCCAUGCCGUAAACGAUGAAUACUAGGUGUUGGAGGGUUUCCGCCCUUCAGUGCCGCAGCUAACGCAUUAAGUAUUCCGCCUGGGGAGUACGACCGCAAGGUUGAAACUCAAAGGAAUUGACGGGGGCCCGCACAAGUGGUGGAGCAUGUGGUUUAAUUCGAUGCUACGCGAAGAACCUUACCAGCUCUUGACAUCUUCUGCCAACCCAAGAGAUUGGGCGUUCCCUUCGGGGACAGAAUGACAGGUGGUGCAUGGUUGUCGUCAGCUCGUGUCGUGAGAUGUUGGGUUAAGUCCCGCAACGAGCGCAACCCUUAUUAUUAGUUGCCAGCAUUUAGUUGGGCACUCUAGUGAGACUGCCGGUGAUAAACCGGAGGAAGGUGGGGACGACGUCAAAUCAUCAUGCCCCUUAUGAGCUGGGCUACACACGUGCUACAAUGGAUGGUACAACGAGUCGCGAAACCGCGAGGUCAAGCUAAUCUCUUAAAGCCAUUCUCAGUUCGGAUUGCAGGCUGCAACUCGCCUGCAUGAAGUUGGAAUCACUAGUAAUCGUGGAUCA
rnacentral:rRNA from 2 species